UCACAUUGCCCUGCAUUACAUAAAGAGGGGCAAAACUCCGAGGCUCUUAUUCGGAUUAAAAGCGUAGCUCAGUACCUUUAUUUGAGAAGGAACCCAUCCAUGUUCAGAGAUGACAGUUCUCCGCCAGUCUACUGGUGAUAACCAUUUGAUUCUGCACUUGGGAAUAAAUUUUCUGAUAGCUGAUGAUAUGCUUGGAAUACUUGCUGUCAAGCUAAAGAAAGGAUCGGCUUUGGAAUUUGGGCGAAGUUGCAUAUUACCGGCAUGCAUGUUGAAGUGAAGGUAUGAAUUUGACUAACGUGAAAUUGAUAAUAUGAUCUUUAGUCAUUGGUUGGACAAAAGCUUAUAGGAGUAAAUUUGUAUAUAGAACAAACAGAACCAUAACUAAAAUUUUGCUUGAUCAGGAGCGUAUUGAAAGACGUUUGAGAUAUCUCAAAAGCCAAAAAGAGAAUCUCGAAUCCUCCA